rnacentral:rRNA from 1 species
AACGAACGCUGGCGGCAGGCCUAACACAUGCAAGUCGAACGCCCUGGCAACAGGGCGUGGCAGACGGGUGCGUAACGCGUGGGAACAUGCCCUUUGGUUCGGAAUAACUCAGGGAAACUUGAGCUAAUACCGGAUAAGCCCGAGAGGGGAAAGAUUUAUCGCCGAAGGAUUGGCCCGCGUCUGAUUAGCUAGUUGGUGAGGUAAUGGCUCACCAAGGCGACGAUCAGUAGCUGGUCUGAGAGGAUGAUCAGCCACACUGGGACUGAGACACGGCCCAGACUCCUACGGGAGGCAGCAGUGGGGAAUAUUGGACAAUGGGCGCAAGCCUGAUCCAGCCAUGCCGCGUGAGUGAUGAAGGCCUUAGGGUUGUAAAGCUCUUUUACCCGGGAAGAUAAUGACGGUACCGGGAGAAUAAGCCCCGGCUAACUUCGUGCCAGCCGCCGCUGUAA